CUGGACGAAAGAAAUAGAAGAUCGCCUGACGCCGGAGCAUAACGAGGCGCAAGCAUUCGCAUACUGGGUUUGAUUGCCUUAAACGGCGUGGCGUCCGUCGUUGUCAGAGUGUCCUCCGAUAGUACUACCGGAAGUUUCCACAGGCCUGCCUUGGGAUCGGCCAGUGUGGCGAUCACGCGGCGCGGCUUAUCGGCACUGAUCGCAACCGAGAGAUACUGCCCGAACCCCGUACUUGCGCGGCGAGGUCUCCGUUCCUCUACAUCCAUCGCGUACAGCCAUUGCACGGAGCUGUCCUCGGCCAUCGCAGAAUAGAUUAACGUAUUCGAAUCGAGCCAGU
rnacentral:misc_RNA from 1 species